CCUGCGUUUCUGAAAGUUUAGCUUCAGCUGGCUUUAACGGGAGAAAAUGCAAACAUAUAUUCAGUUGUACUUGGUUCUCAGUCCACUAAAGAGCGGCCUCAGCAGACUCCUUCUCGUUCUCAAUCGAGCUAUGGAACUGCCAAUCAGCCGUCAACAAGGCUGAUUUCAUUCCUGCCUUUGCCACCCACUCCAACCUCAGUUUGCUGGCUCUGAAUGAGACCUGGAUGCAAAGAGAGAACACUGCAACACCCGAUGCCCUGGCCUCCAAUUUCAACUUCUCCCACACCACAGAUAAGCCACAAGCAGCUGACAUUCUUGCUUUUCUACCUACGUUUGAACUGAAGCAGCUUCCCACCCCAGCAACUCAUAAAGCUGGCAAACAGCUCGUCCUCAUCCUCAC